rnacentral:lncRNA from 1 species
AAGUAAGGGUAUGCAAUGGUGUGUGUUUGUGUAGUUUGUGUGUGUGUGAUGUGUCCGUGUACACAUGCAUGUGUGCGUGCAUGCCUCUGUUUGUGCAGGUUCAUGCAGUGCUGUUUGUGCAGUGUGUGCAUACCUGUGUGUGUGUGUGGUGUGCAUGUGUCUUCACAUUGGUGUGUGUGUAUGUGCAUAGAAUGGCAUGUGUGUAUGGUAUGUGAGUGUGUACACGUGCACACAUAUGCAUGCAUGCGUACAUGUGUUCACCAUCAUGUCAAUGGCCUUGGUUAGCACCAUUGCUGAGGUGAGGAAUCUGUGUGUGUUUGUGUGUGUGUGUAUGUGUAUGUGUGUAGCAUGUGUGUGUGGUGCACAUGCCGUGGUGUAUGUUAUGUGUGUGUGCAGUGGUGUAUAUUUGUGUGUGUUUCCACACAUGUCAG